UUUUUGGUAAGUUUUCUUUUCCUUUCAAUUCAAAUUCUCCUUUCAUUUUGAGUUCUCCCUCUUCCUCGACGGUUUUCUUCCCAGUUCUCUAUCUUCCGGAAAUCUCUUCAUCCCACUCACCCUCACGUUUCGUCAGUUUACCUUCUCCUUACAUCAAGAUUUUUCCCUCUCAAUAGAUCGGGCUACUCUCAAACUCUCAUUCUCUACGAUUUUCUUCACCAGUUUUUUUGGGCUACAGAAUUCUUGACCUCCCCAAUAAUUUUUCCUUACCAUCAAUUUGUUCCACACAUCUACUCGUGGGUCUCAAGAUUCUAGUGUUGCCAUCGAGCCUCGCAUUGAAAGUGCUAGAUUGAGCAUUUGCCCCCCUAGAGCAGUGCUCCCUUGUGUUUGUCAGUUGUUGUCAUAGAGUCCAAUGCCGGUAAGCCAUGUUACUCUCUUCUUCUCUUUUAUUCAUCGCUUAGAAAAAGGGAGAUUUUAUGUGAUUUUAAGUUUGGUUAUUUUAAUUAUUUAUGUUAAAGUGUGGUGUUUUGGGUUGAUGUGUGGCGUAUGGAAGUGAUUGAUGGCUGCUCAGGGUGGUUUAUUGACUGUGUGUGCAAUGGGUAUUUGAGCUGGUUGUGUUGGGUGUAUUAUGAGUGGCACAGAUACCUAAGUCUUGAAAUGUUGGAUGAUUAAAAAUAUAUGAUGGUUGCGCUAAAGUCUUAUAUUGAAGGUUGGAGUUGACGUGGUUGUUUGUGUUAUGCUUUAAAUACAGGAGUUGCUGUUGUUGGUUUUGGAGAUAUUUUAUUGUUGGUUUGGU